ensembl:lncRNA LIMD1-AS1 LIMD1 antisense RNA 1
GGGCGCGUUUUGGGGAAAGGCAGAGCAGCGGGAGCGCGGCGCAAGGGCAAAAUGGAUCGUUGGUACCCGGAAGCCCGUUCAAACUGUAUAAGGGUGAUCAGCUAUCACGGAGAAGGCUUUAGCAAGUCGGGGCCAGUGGCGCAAUGGAUAACGCGUCUGACUACGGAUCAGAAGAUUCUAGGUUCGACUCCUGGCUGGCUCGCGAUGUCUGUUUUGCCACACUUGACCCAUGUACUACUGGGUCUUGUAAAGAUGUAUAUUCACAAUGUGAAAGUAUUACAAGACCUUGGAAAGGUGUAUGGUUAGAAUGUGAAAGUUAAAUAUCUGAAAUUUUGAUGCCGCUUUGCUCACAAUGUCAUCCUUUAUCCUUUAAACCUGGAGUUGUCUGAGGUGGUUUGCAAACUGCAAAGCGCCCUGUUCCCAAUGAUGCACCUGAGAAGUCUGUAAAUGGGGUAAAUUUAGGCAAACACACCUGGAAAAGUGGCAUUUUGGAGUGGGGAAUGCUGUGGCCGGAGGUUAGCAACCGGAUGAUGCAAAAGCGUAUUUAAGGCAGCAGUUCUGGCCUUUCCCCGCCACGGAGCAGAAGCCCCCAUAGUGAUGUGAGAAGCGGCGCUGUCCCAGUUUACUAGGAUGGGAUGGGCUUUGGAUCUAACCAGCAGCGAAGAAAACCUGCGGUGCGGCUGCGCUCGGUAGUAGGGGUCCACAAAGCGUCAGAAUCUGCAGCAGCCCCGGCCUUUGCGAGCUCCAGCUCCGAAGUCAACCCGGCCCCCAAAUUCCACUGGGAAACCUUAAGACACCGGUGUUUUUACCGUAAGAAGACCUCAGAAGCCCAUGGAAACAAGGCGAUGACGGCGCUUGAGGGUGACCAGACCUCCUCAAUCAUUCCAUCAGCCACCCAGGACUCAACAGCAGAACCUCAGAGGACUCAGCUGAAAGAGGUUUUCACUCGAGCACUAACCACAGAGAAAUGGGAAGUGCCAUCCUGCUGUCAUACGCAGCCGAUGGCUGGGUAGGACUAAAUGCCCUUCUGUGGUGAGAUGAACCAAGACGGCAGAUGGGGGAAUAACAUCAGUGAGAGAGAGAUUACGAAUGGAUCCUUGUAUUGCAGAUCAAACUGGGUUGUCUCUUCUCAAACCACCCAGGCAGUUUCUGAAUGUCCCAAGAUAGGGGUAGGAGAAAAGAAAAAAAAGACAAAACAGGAGACGGUGGGUAAGAAAACCUAAAAGGCACAAUGAGGCAAAGGCCUAAGAUGGAGGCUGGCUUUGGGAUCUGAAAUCCGGCCACAAUCCUCCUUGUUUUACCUCAAGUCCAAGAAUUGUCAAAAAGAAAACCCAGAAGGGCUAUUCAUUCUAAAUUUUAAAAUCUUUUCUUCCUGGCCUACCAA